rnacentral:rRNA from 1 species
AUUGAACGCUGGCGGCAUGCCUUACACAUGCAAGUCGAACGGCAGCACGGGGGCAACCCUGGUGGCGAGUGGCGAACGGGCGAGUAACACAUCGGAACGUACCCGGUGGUGGGGGAUAGCCCGGCGAAAGCCGGAUUAAUACCGCAUACGACCUACGGGUGAAAGCGGGGGAUCGUAAGACCUCGCGCUAUCGGAGCGGCCGAUGUCAGAUUAGGUUGUUGGUGGGGUAAAGGCCUACCAAGCCGANGAUCUGUAGCUGGUCUGAGAGGACGACCAGCCACACUGGGACUGAGACACGGCCCAGACUCCUACGGGAGGCAGCAGUGGGGAAUUUUGGACAAUGGGCGCAAGCCUGAUCCAGCCAUGCCGCGUGCGGGAAGAAGGCCCUCGGGUUGUAAACCGCUUUUGUCGGGAAGAAGCGCUCUGGGCUAAUUAUCCCCGGGGUAAUGACGGUACCCGAAGAAUAAGCACCGGCUAACUACGUGCCAGCCGCCGCGGU